AACGCGAAGAACCUUACCUGGGUUUGACAUACGCGGAAAUCCGGCAGAGAUGUCGGGUCCCUUCGGGGGUUCGUGUACAGGUGGUGCAUGGCUGUCGUCAGCUCGUGUCGUGAGAUGUUGGGUUAAGUCCCGCAACGAGCGCAACCCUUGUCCUAUGUUGCCAGCGGGUCAUGCCGGGGACUCAUGGGAGACUGCCGGGGUCAACUCGGAGGAAGGUGGGGAUGACGUCAAGUCAUCAUGCCCCUUAUGUCCAGGGCUUCACGCAUGCUACAAUGGCCGGUACAGAGGGCUGCGAUACCGCAAGGUGGAGCGAAUCUCUUCAAAGCCGGUCUCAGUUCGGAUCGGGGUCUGCAACUCGACCCCGUGAAGUCGGAGUCGCUAGUAAUCGCAGAUCAGCAACGCUGCGGUGAAUACGUUCCCGGGCCUUGUACACACCG
rnacentral:rRNA from 1 species